rnacentral:rRNA from 1 species
UACGGAGGGGGCGAGCGUUGUCCGGAUUUAUUGGGUUUAAAGGGUGCGUAGGCGGCUUGGUAAGUCUGGGGUGAAAGCCCGCCGCUCAACAGCGGAACUGCCCUGGAUACUGCCGGGCUUGAGCACAGGAGAGGUUGGUGGAAUGGACGGUGUAGCGGUGAAAUGCAUAGAUACCUUCCAGAACACCGAUUGCGAAGGCAGCUGACUAGACUGUAGCUGACGCUGAGGCACGAAAGCGUGGGUAGCGAACAGG